rnacentral:rRNA from 1 species
GGUUAAGCGACUAAGCGUACACGGUGGAUGCCCUGGCAGUCAGAGGCGAUGAAGGACGUGCUAAUCUGCGAUAAGCGUCGGUGAGGUGAUAUGAACCGUUAUAACCGGCGAUUUCCGAAUGGGGAAACCCAGUGUGUUUCGACACACUAUCAUUAACUGAAUCCAUAGGUUAAUGAGGCGAACCGGGGGAACUGAAACAUCUAAGUACCCCGAGGAAAAGAAAUCAACCGAGAUUCCCCCAGUAGCGGCGAGCGAACGGGGAGGAGCCCAGAGCCUGAAUCAGUGUGUGUGUUAGUGGAAGCGUCUGGAAAGGCGCGCGAUACAGGGUGACAGCCCCGUACACAAAAAUGCACAUAUUGUGAGCUCGAUGAGUAGGGCGGGACACGUGGUAUCCUGUCUGAAUAUGGGGGGACCAUCCUCCAAGGCUAAAUACUCCUGACUGACCGAUAGUGAACCAGUACCGUGAGGGAAAGGCGAAAAGAACCCCGGCGAGGGGAGUGAAAAAGAACCUGAAACCGUGUACGUACAAGCAGUGGGAGCCUCUUAAUGGGGUGACUGCGUACCUUUUGUAUAAUGGGUCAGCGACUUAUAUUCUGUAGCAAGGUUAACCGAAUAGGGGAGCCGAAGGGAAACCGAGUCUUAACUGGGCGUUAAGUUGCAGGGUAUAGACCCGAAACCCGGUGAUCUAGCCAUGGGCAGGUUGAAGGUUGGGUAACACUAACUGGAGGACCGAACCGACUAAUGUUGAAAAAUUAGCGGAUGACUUGUGGCUGGGGGUGAAAGGCCAAUCAAACCGGGAGAUAGCUGGUUCUCCCCGAAAGCUAUUUAGGUAGCGCCUCGUGAAUUCAUCUCCGGGGGUAGAGCACUGUUUCGGCAAGGGGGUCAUCCCGACUUACCAACCCGAUGCAAACUGCGAAUACCGGAGAAUGUUAUCACGGGAGACACACGGCGGGUGCUAACGUCCGUCGUGAAGAGGGAAACAACCCAGACCGCCAGCUAAGGUCCCAAAGUCAUGGUUAAGUGGGAAACGAUGUGGGAAGGCCCAGACAGCCAGGAUGUUGGCUUAGAAGCAGCCAUCAUUUAAAGAAAGCGUAAUAGCUCACUGGUCGAGUCGGCCUGCGCGGAAGAUGUAACGGGGCUAAACCAUGCACCGAAGCUGCGGCAGCGACGCUUAUGCGUUGUUGGGUAGGGGAGCGUUCUGUAAGCCUGUGAAGGUGUGCUGUGAGGCAUGCUGGAGGUAUCAGAAGUGCGAAUGCUGACAUAAGUAACGAUAAAGCGGGUGAAAAGCCCGCUC